AAGGUCAAUAAUAGAGCCAAGUGCUUGGCUAUAAGCCAAGUAAUUAGAGCUAAGUUAUACAAUAAGUUGUCUCCUACUUGUCUAUAAAACACAUUCUCUUUCUUCUCUCUUCUCACAACACUUGCUUUUUGGGCCCACUACUACCUAUGCAUCCGUGCCCGGCUUGGUGCUUAGCUAAGAGCCAAGCUAUCAUCUCUCUCCUCUCUUCUCUCCUCCACAUCAGCACUAGCUUGGCUAUAAGCCCAUUAUUGUACCUGCUC
rnacentral:lncRNA from 1 species